rnacentral:lncRNA from 1 species
ACCCACCUAUAUCUUCUAGCUUCAAUGGCACUAAGAGCUUGAUAUUCAACUCCUUCCCACCAAUUUUUUGGGUUAGUGGAACAUGUAGUUGGUCCUGGAAUUGCACAUCCUUCAAUAUCAAAAUCCUUGUAAUAAGCAUAGAAAGGUGCUUUACUCCAAUUAAUUUUCUCUAAUCCACCUCUUGUUGCCCAAUUAUCAGCUUCCCAUAAUGUUGAAAAUACUCCCAUGGCUUGCAUUUUUGGGUAUGGUAUCCCUUUUGCUUCAUUGUUCUUGUAUACUCUAAUAGGAACUUCAUCAACAUAGAAGCUGCAUGUGUGUAAGGUCUUACGUUAGUCUCACGUCUUAGAAUGCAAUUUUGGCCACAAAAUCAAAGUUUUUUAUUUUUUAUAUUUUUUAUGAUUCUGUGACAAUAUUGUGACUAUAAAUAAUGGAUAAUGUUUCAUAGAUACCCUUUUCUUCAUACACACAUUGUACCAUCCCCAUGUGAAAGACAAUAAAUGCGAGUUUUUUGUAUAUUUAAGAACCACAUGGACAUAUAUCACAAUCUAUGUAAGUAAUUGUAGUCUCCAUCAAAAAAAGGUAAUUGUUGUCAUGUCUUGUAUUAAAAAUAUAGUAAGUCACCAAAAUUAGAUUUUUUUUUUUUUUUAAAUUAAAGAUAUUCGGAUUUUACAUAUUUCUAAUGUAUAAAUUUCUGUCAUCGCUAUUUUUUUUUUUUUUUUUAUGGUUUUGCAUUAUCAAGAGAAAUGUUUUUUUAACAAUUAAAUUCAAACAACUUUGACAACUAACUCGGUUCAAAUAGUGGCUAACUACCUUCAGUAUAUGUUUAGUAAAUACAUUAGAUGUCUAAAUUUAUUAACUAUCAAUAUAACUCUACUAACCUCAAAUUUGGACAUAGUUACCAUAAUCUAACCUCAAAUUUGGAGAUGGUUACCAUAAUUUUCAAGUAUUUAACUGCAUGUAGGUUUGAACACUUGAAAGUUGUGGUUAAUCACACUCAAAUUGUAGUCAAUGAAGUUAUGAUUAAUAGGUUUUGACAUAUGUUAUAUCCAUAACUAUUUCUAUCGAACCAAAUCAUCCAUCUAUUUGAAUUUUGAACAACAUCAAUUACUUAAAAAGGUUAUUGCUAAAGUUGUUUACAAUCAAUGUUUAAAUAACAACGCUGCAAAAUAAAAUAUAGGAGUGCAACUUUGUGAUUUAAACCAUUAUGCUUAACUUUUUUUUGGUUCAUUUUAUCACACUUUUUGUUCUUGCUUGUCUUUAUUUACUUACACAAUAUGGUGAUGAUUCCAAAGAAUGGAGUAAGUGUGGAAAUCAGCAGAAGGAUCAAACCAAAGAUUAACUCUUUGUUCUCUAUCACCCUUUCCAUGAGCAUAAAUGUUUGUUUGAACUGUGUAAGGUUGUCCAGUACGGUUUCCCAAGAACUCAAAAUCCAACUCAUCACGUACACUGUCAGUGUCAGAGUUCAUCUACCACAAAAAAUAUAUUCAAUGAUUUCAGUUUUUGACUCGCUUAAUUAUAUUUUUAACAAAGAGUAGGGAAAUUAAUAUGAACUUACAUAAAAUGCAGUAACAGUACCAGCAGAAUCUCCAGGGACAAGUUUGAUCUUCAUGCUUACACGACCAAACAAAUACUUCACCUUUGAUGCAAACCCGCAACCUGUGCAAAAAUUAAAUUAAGUAUUUUUGAUAGAUAAAUAGGUAACAUGACUUAUCCAAAUUAUAUUAGUAUAGUAUUUGUUAUUUAUAGUAUAUAAUAACAUAAGUUACUUACCAGAGCCUUGGUCUAGGGUAAGUUGGAUAGUUCUGCCUUGAUCAAUUUGCUUGAUAUGGGGUUCUGACCACGUGACAUGAAAAUCUUGAUUAAAAGUUGCUGGUCUUCCCCAAACAGAUGAUACGACAAUCCACAAUAACAACAUAAAAAAGACACCAUUGUUUUUAAAGGGGUAAAAUAUGGCCAUGGAUGUGUAUUACGUAAUGUAAUAUAUAGGAAGAAAAUAUUUGAUUGUGCAAUGUAAACGAGAGUAGUGUCCAAUAUUUAUACAUGAGAAUUUGGAAAGGAAAAAGAAAAGAAUAAUCAAUCAGUUCAUUGUCUCAUUGAAAUGGAAGAUGUUAAAACAUAUAACAUUGCUUUCUAUACAGCUAAGGGCUUGAAGUCAUUAGGACCUACCUAAGCAGUUUGUCCUCUGCUUGGCCCCUUUAAUCCUUUGUUUGCCCAAUCAUUUUCUUGGCGUGUGCUUCAUAUGUAUUUAUAAAUAAAAAAUAAUAAUUUGAGCAAAAAUGAACAACAUUUAAUGUGUUGAUGGGAUAAGUAUUUUUUAGAUGAACUAUCAAUGAUUAAUUUGUUAGCGUUUAACCUUUAAUUUCAAGAAACAAAGUUAAAAUUCUUUUAGAAACAAUUAUAAAAUAGUCAGUAAUGUCAUUUUAAUUUAAUUAAAUAAUUUCAUCAUUCUCAAUUUCUUUUGACCAAGUAGUUUAGUGACCAUAAUUUUAUGGUUUGAAGAAUUUCGAGUUCGAAUUUCAACCCCUACAUAUUAUAACGUCGCUAUCAAUCGAGAACUAUUCAUAAUUUAAUAAAACAAAAGUUGAUUAAUAUGGUAAGGGAAGAGUUUGUUAGCAUUAAAUAUCUUGAAUCUCUCGCGAAAACACAUUUUAAUUGGUAGUUGAAAGGAUUGAUAUGGAGAGACCGAAAUUUGAACUUCAGAUUAGUGUGAGUCUAGUCAUUAAACUACUUGACUAAAAAAAAAUCUUAAACCUCAUAUAGACAUAAUAUUGUUUCAGCGUCCCAACUUUUAUCUUUGGAUUAAUUAUUUUUUAAAUAGGUCAGAUUAACUUGUAUCUUAAAGACACAUGUUAAGUAUCCCAAAAAGAGCUACUUUGUAUUGGAAAACAUAAUAUUUUAAUUUUUAAGAAAUUGACUACACGACUUUUGAUACGUAUAUUAUUAUAAUGAAUUUCUUAACAUGUACUCAAGUUAGCAUUUGCCUUCUUAAAUUAGUUCAUCUCAGUUUUCUUUUCAUUUUUGCUUUGACAUUUUGAAACUUUCACAGCCAAACUUCAAAUUUUGAAUGAUAUGUGGAAAUUGAAAUUAUACACAAUGUACUACUAUUAGUAGAAAAAUUGGUUUGAGAUGAACUUAUUCAUACGUACAUUUCAGCUGAGAGGCCUAACAAUGUUGCUAAUUAUGAGCUUUGCUGUUAUCUUUAAUUUUCCUUUAUCUAAUUUGAGGUCCACGUAGCUUAAGCCUUUAAGGUGAGGCCAUUAAUCCAUAAUUAUUUGAUGAGCCAUGUACUGUGGACAGCUGAGGGAGGUUGAUUGAUCACGAACGGGUUGAAUCAGCAACUACAUCCAACGUGGAACCUACUCAUUGGUCCAAGCCAGAAUCAAAAACUGCUGCUAUUGAUUAUUGAAUAAGAAUCUUUACCCAAACAGUUUUGAUCAUUCCCAAAGUAAAUCACCAAAAAAUUGCUGCGUAAGUUAACUCACGCAGCGUGACUUAAGUCACGCUAAAAAACAAACAAAAUCUCACAGUCACGUUGAAACAAAAGCAGCACAAGAGUUUUGAGGAAAACCUAAUCCAUAUGCAAUAAGCAACAAAAGUCAUGGUGAUCUCGUCAAGGAAUUAUGUAUCAAUCGUGAAACCUCCAUAGUUAUUUAUUCUGAAUCAAUGACUUUGCUAUAAAGCCACUUUCUUUUGGGAAAAAAAUCGUGAUGUUCUUAAAUUGAAGGAAGGGAAAAACGUGGAUUGAAGUCCAAUUCAAGUCCACCAGGAACCGAAAAAGUCAUUCUUUAAAAAAAAAAAAAAAAGGUGAAGAAGACAACGGCAAAGAUGAAGAAGAGAUGAAUGACUUUUUGUUCUAGCGUGACUUAACUUAGGUACAAAAUAUACUAGCGCAUGUUAAGUCACGUAGCGUGACCUAACAUAAGUACAUACUAUUACACUAGCGCAUGUUAACAUACGUAAGAGUAUUUUAGACUUUUACUUUGGAAAUGAGCGAAAUCAUUUGGGUAAUGAGCAGAAAUCAUUGAAUAAUUUGGUUUGACCCCAAUAAUGCUAAUUAAGUUUCCAACUGUGAUUUUCGUGUAUUUCAGUGGGAGAGAAAAUCAUUCGAAUCAACCUUACCGUUUGGAUUAAAAAGGUUCUUGGAAUCAUUAUUCAACUUUUUAUUUUCACUUCUCGUUUUCUCCCUUCAUUUUUUUACUUCUAUCUUCCGUUUUUUUUUGUUUACUCGUUUUUUAUUUUCCAAUUUUUUUUCAUUAUAAGUUACCUAAACUAAGGCAAGGAGAAAAUAGAGAUGGUGACCAUAGUUUCGUCUACGUUUAUUAAAUGCAUGCUUAUUUAUAUGGCUGAUUGGGAAAUAUGGAACUAAUAGGAAUUUGCUGGACUUCACUUGUGCCGACAAGAACUUUGGUUUCUCUUAAUUAAGUACAUACAUCCUCUCUCGGUUUUAUGAUUGCAUAUUUUGUUGAGAAAAUUUAUUUUUGUUUAUUUAUCCUUUUCAAUAUGUUAGUUUGUAUUAGCUAUAUUUUUUAUAUUAUAAUCUAAAAGACAUUCUAAAAGUAACUAAUUGUAAUAAUAUUUGGGUCAAAUAUCAUCUAUGGUUCUUUAAGUUCGAUGUUUAUAACAAUGUAGUCAUUUAAAUUUUUUUGUUACAAAUUGAUCGUUUAAGUUAGAAAAUAUAAGGACAAUGAUUUUUUUUUAUUGUAUCAUAAAGUUUUGGACAUUAGGACAUGUAUAUAUGUUGCUUACAAGAGCCUUGGUCUAGGGUAAGUUGGAUAGUUCUGCCUUGAUCAAUUUGCUUGAUAUGGGGUUCUGACCACGUGACAUGAAAGUCUUGAUUAAAAGUUGCUGGUCUUCCCCAAACAGAUGAUACGACAAUCCACAAUAACAACAUAAAAAAGAUACCAUUGUUUUUAAAAGGGUAAAAUAUGGUCAUGGUUGUGUAUUACGUAAUGUAAUAUAUAGGAAGAAAAUAUUUGAUUGUGCAAUGUAAAUGAGCAUAGUGUCCUAUAUUUAUACAUGAGAAUUUGGAAAGGAAAACGAAGAGAAUAAUCAAUCAGUUCAUUGUCUCAUUGAAAUGGAAGAUGUUAAAACAUAUAACAUAUAUUGCUUUCUAUACAGCUAAGUGCUUGCCGACCUUAGGACCUACCUAAAUACCAUGACCAACGAAAAUUUGAGUGGAAUCAAAUUCGUUUAGAGAUGUUCAAAACCAAAUCAGUCCAAUAAAAAUCAUAAACCGAACCAACUAAAAUCGAUAACCACAAAAAACCCGUGUUUGGUUUGGUUGUGUUCGGGGCACUUUUCACUCAACUCCUCAUUAAGCUCAACAAACCUUCUUCUUUUUCCAAUUAACAUUAUAUAUACAAGGGUUAAUAUGUCUUUACCUCCUGUAAUUUGGGCGAGUUCCGGUUUUCCCCCCUGUAAAAAAAAAAGUUUAGAUUCCAACCCUGUAAAAUAAGAUUCUUUGAUUUUAGCCCCUGACCCAUGUGACUGUGCAUAAUUGCUGACGUGGCGGGCUGAGUGGCAUGCUGACGUGCUGACUGUAUAAUUUUUUUUUUUUUAUUUAAAAAAAUAUAUAAAAAUUAAAAAAAAAUCAGGAUUUUCUUUAUUACGAAAAAUAUUUUCUGAAAUAUUUAUUUUUCGAAAAUUCCAAAAUUUAUAAUUUACAAAAAAAAUAUAUUUCAAAAUUUUUUAAAAUUAUUUUUGAAAAUGUUGAAAUAUAUAUUUCAAAAAAAAAAUUCAAAAUUAUUUUCGAAAAUUUGGAAUAUAUAUUUUUUGAAGUUUAAAACAGAUUUUUUUUCGAAAAAUAAGUUUUUAAAAUUUUCUCAACAAAAAAAAAAAUCUGGAUACAAAUUUAUUUAAAAAUUUAGGAAAAUUUAGAUUUUUAUUACGAUGUGUUACAGAUUUGAGAAUAUUUUUUAAUAUUUAAAAAUUGAGGAUAAAAAAAUCUGGAAAUUUUUUUAAUAUUUAAAUUUAUUCUUAUCUAUUUGUUAUAUGUGUUAUUUGUAUUGAAAAUUGUGGGCAUUUUUGAAAAGAAACAGCCAACCCAAAAGCUGAAAGGGGUUGUUUUCUUUAUAUAUAUUUCCAAAAAUAUUAUAUAUAAAAAAUUCAUACACUUACUAUAUUUUGAAACUUUCAAAAAUUAAAAAAAAAUCCAAAUUAAUUAAAUUUUAAAAAUAUUCGAAAAAAUAAUAUAAGCUAAUUUUUUGAAUGUUUUGGUAAAAAAAUUAAUAUUUUUUUUUUUGAAAAAAAAUCCAAUCUUUUUUUUCGUUUUUUAAAAAAAUGUUUUUUUUCUUGAUUUUAAAUUUUUGAAAAUUAAUUUUCAGUUUUUUUUUUUAUCUUUUUAAAAAUAAUUUAUUAAACCAUUACACACAUGUCAAAUUUAAAAAAAUAAAAAUAAAAAUAAUUACACAGUGGCGUGCCACAUCAGCGUCUAAAUGAGGUCAAGGGUGUUUUGUGGAGAAUCUUCAUAUUACAGGGGUGUUUUGUGGAGAAUAUUUAUAUUAUAAGGUUGGAAUCUAAAUUUUUUUUUUACAGGGGGGAAAACCGGAACUCGCCCAAAUUACAGGGGGGUAAAGACAUAUUAUCCCUAUAUACAAAUAUGUAAUCUUUUUCGAUUCAAUUUAAAAAAAAAAAAAAAACCUAUUUGUAACAUGAAGACCAUCUCUCCUCCAACUCGGUUGUCUCUCCUCCAUGGUCUCUCUCCCUCUAUUUGCUUUGGAGUUCAAUUUUGAUGCAUUUUUUUUUUUUUUGGAGUUAGGCUAUACUUGGAUAACCUUUUGUUUAUGUUUAAUUGUUGCAAAUUUUGUAAUGGGAGUUAGUUGUUGCUAAAAAGUUGAAUUUUGUAACUUGUGAAGCUACCAAGUCAGGGAUAGAAGGAUGAAAGUUGAUCUUCAAUAGGGUUGAAAGGUUCAUUUUGGGGGUUGAAAACGUAAUGGCACAACUUGUGGAGCUACCUAAAAUUUUUAGUCUAAUUGGUUGCAAGUGAAAUUUUAAGGAGUCAAAUGACAUUCAAAGGGUUGAAGAAUUAAAGGAAAAUCUUAUGGGGUUACAAAGUGUAGUGGGAUGCAAGUAUAGUCAUAGAUGACUAGAGAAGAAUAAUCAGACCUAAAAACUUGCGGGAGUUAUCAAUGAUAGUUGGAUGCAAAUGGAGAUUAGUACCUAGAUCAAGGUUCAAGUGGGGCUUGGACUUGACCUGUUUCCUGAAGAGAAGUUCCAAGAUGGAGAGAGCAGCAUAGUGGUUGAUGAGUAAAUUGUAAUCACCACUUAUUUGAAGGCAGGAUAGAUAAUUUUGAAUUGUGUCAUAUAAAUAAGGCAGGAUGUGCUGUCAUAGAGCAACUCGCCCCGACGAGUAACUCCAUCAUUGCAGAGUGAUUUUCCAUGCUCAGUUUCGACGUAUGACGCUCACCGGAAGUCUGAUGCUCAUCGGAAGGAGACUUUGUUUCAAACAUAAGAUAAUGAUAUUCUGGAUUUUAGAAAAUUUGUUCAGAACGAUAAAUAAUUCAUAUCGAGAAUCAUGUGAGCUUUCAUCAUCGGUGUCGGCAUCUACUCCGUCAGCGACGACGGUUCCCACUCGUCGGAAAAACAACAACAGCGUUAGUGAUCAACAGAGAUGCUGUCAAUUAGAUCGAGGAGCAUCACCAAUGGAUAAUUUCGAAACAAUAGAUUGAUCAGAAUUUGUAACCUCGUCGGAAUCUUUACCUCGGAGUCGGAACAAGACGACGGGGCGAUGACGACGAUGCGGCGGUCGAGGCUAGGUUACCAUGCUGUUGAUGGGCUUGGGAGGGUGGAUUAUGCUAUUGAAAACGGUGGAGCUUUUGUUGUGAGACAUUCGGAGGCUUAUGAUGUGUGGUUGGGGAAUUGGUUCUUGUUGAAUAGUGAAUUAGAAGGGGUUUUGGGGAAAUGAAUGGGGAAGGAAGCAACUACGGUUGUAGAGGCUACAAACACUUUUUUUUUUAAUCUGGAUUGGAAGAGGAAGUAGGUUAAAAGGAGGUUGGUGGUGGUGGUGGAGAGAACUGGUUUUGUGUUUUUGUGAGAAAAGAAGAAGACAAGGGAUGAUGAGGGUAUUUUUGUCCAUUCCCAUGUCAUUUUGCUAAUUUGAUGAUGUGGUAGUAAUUAAGUAGGUGUAGGGACGGAAUUUUAAAGGAUUAAACUUUGAAAGGGUAAUUUUCCAGGAUUAACGAUUACAGAGGCCAAUUUUUAAAUAAGCCCUAACUGCAGGGACGAAACACAUAUUAAAGCCUUGAUUAUAUACAUGACAUAUGUAAGCUAAUAUAAUAUUGCAAAUAGGUCAAUAGUGCAAAAUAUAACUUAAUUAUAAAACAAAGCAUACAUAACCACUAUAAUAAAUAGUUAUGUUCAACUUAGAAUCAAAAUACAAAAUUAACUUGCAAAAUCAUAAGUUUCAUUAGACUUUAAACCAUCCAAAGAACCAUCCGAAAAACCAAGUUUCAGAAGUUUCUAAAGUUAUUAAUAAAUCUAUUCAAAAAAUGAACUAGUUAAUUUCUUCAAAAGAUCAAUCCUUCUAAAGUUCCACAACAUCAUUAUCAUCGGUGUUUUCUUCUCCAGAUAAUAAAGAGUUUUCAAUAUUAGAACCAAAUACAUGACUUGAACUCAAUUCAACAUUAAUUUCAGUACCUUGAGCUUGAAAAAAAAUGGAUUUUGGAAGAAAAUGGACUCCAAAAAAUGGCCCAAAAUAACAAAAAAAAAAAAAAAAGUGCUUUUUUAAACGUAAACUCGGUCAAGUUUAACAUGUGUUAACUAGAUCAAACUAGUCAAACGUUCUGAUUUCAUCAAAAACCGAGUUUAAAAAUGUAAUCACAUGUGAGUUUACGAGUUAACAUUCGAUCUGUGGAACACUGUCUAUAUGAAAAAAGUUAUUGUGAGUAUUGAGAGAUUAUUUUAACGUCAGAGACUAUUUUGAUUAACAAAGUGUACAAUCAAGGACUAUUUUAAAAAUUUUAUACAUUGAUGAACUAUUGUGACAAUUCAUUACACAUUCAUGGAUCAAAAUGACUAUUAGUUGGGUGAAAAACAUAGGAAAACUUUAUUCCAUAUAUAUUGAUACUUGCUAUAUUACAGUAAAUUAUUUAUUUACCUAAAAACACAAAUAAAUUGUUUAUUAUUCAUCAAUUGAUCACAAUAAUGGCUUUCGUAAAAUCACAUACAAUGCCAACAGAGCUAGAAGAGGCUUUGACUUAUACAACUUACCUAUACCCCUUCUAAUUUUUGGCUUAAUAAUUGGGACAUAUAGUACUAUAUACACACAUUAUAAAUGAAUAUCAUAUGCACAUAAAAGUAUGUGGCACAAACGUUAUGAACCACUAAUUUUGCCGACGAAUUGAAUUAAUGUUUAUAAAUAUAUGUAUAGUUUGGUUUUGGACAUUUAAAUGCCUGAAAGACACUCAUGUGGGGUCAUUGGGUACCUUGAUUUAUCUUGACAAUAAUCAUAGAUCACAUGGUUCAUACGAACCCACCUAUAUCUUCUAGCUUCAAUGGCACUAAGAGCUUGAUAUUCAACUCCUUCCCACCAAUUUUUUGGGUUAGUGGAACAUGUAGUUGGUCCUGGAAUUGCACAUCCUUCAAUAUCAAAAUCCUUGUAAUAAGCAUAGAAAGGUGCUUUACUCCAAUUAAUUUUCUCUAAUCCACCUCUUGUUGCCCAAUUAUCAGCUUCCCAUAAUGUUGAAAAUACUCCCAUGGCUUGCAUUUUUGGGUAUGGUAUCCCUUUUGCUUCAUUGUUCUUGUAUACUCUAAUGGGAACUUCAUCAACGUAGAACCUGCAUGUGUAUUCAAGGUUUUAAAUAAGUCAUAGAAUGCAAUUUUAGGCACAACAUCAAAGUUAUUUUUAUGAUUUAUUUUUUUUAAAACGAAAGGUGGAAGCUAUCAUUAAUCAAAAUUACACUCAUGACCAUUUGAAAACUUCCCAUAAUGUUGAAAAUACUCCCAUGGCUUGCAUCUUUACGUUAUGAUUUUGCGACAAAAGCGUGACUAUAACUAAUUAGGUCAAAAUAUUUGCUAAAUUUAGUUAAGAAAUUAAAGAUGGUUGGAUUGGAUGUUACAUGUUUCUACUAUACAUUUCUUUUACUUUUACCUGUAGUUUAGUAGCUAUAAAUUUAAGGUGGAUGCGCCAUGUGUACAUAAUUCAAAGGCAAUUUCUAUGGUACAUUCAAUAAAAUUGAGUGUACUGGUACACCCAUAUAUUAAAUGAAUAGUUUAAUGAGUUAUUUUUUUUUAGAAAAAAUAUAUUUUUUAUUGGUUACAAUUAGAAUAAUUAUAUUUUAUUUCUCAAAAGUGUCGACAAAUCAAAAUUCAAUUUUUUUUAAAAUUUUUUAAUACCCAUAAUAGUGAAUAUUGAUUAUUUUUUUUAGAUAAAAUGUUAAAAUAUUAGUAUGAUUCUUAUAAAGGACGAAAUGACGUUUUUUCUUAUAAAAUAAUAUUUUCUAAAAUAUAAAAGUUGAUAAAUAUCUCUUUAUUACAGAAAAAUGAUCGAUAACUUAUUGAUUUAUGAAAUAGGUGUACCGGUACACUUUAAUUUAAGGGUGUACCAUAGAAACUCUCUAAUUCAAACCCCGACACUCCAUAUUAUGUAAUCACAUAUAUUGAGAGUUGAGAUUCAUUAAUGAUCAAUUUAACUUCAUUUACCAUGAAUUUAAACGUGGUUAACCAUAACAGAGUUAUGCAAACUUGUACCUUCGAGGUACAAGUUAAGGACCUAAAAGUGAAGAAAAAAAAUAUUACAUUUAAAAAAUAAUAAAUACACAAUUUUCAAUAUUAUACUUUUAGAUUUACUUCUUAUCUUAUGUCAUUACGAUAUAAUUAGGAUACAUGUUAACAUUUUCAUAAUUUAAGUUUACAACUACAUGAUUUGCUAAAAAAAAAAUACAUAAUUUGAACCAUAUAUAGUGAAGAUAACAAACCAUCUAUUUGAAGUAAAAAAUUGUCUCAAACGUUUUCUAAAAAAAGUUGCUAAAUUUGAUUGUACAAAUAACACAAUUAGAGUAUCAAAUAACACAACUCAAACAUUAAAUAUCUCACUACAACUUUGUGAUUUACAUUAUGCAAUUAUAUUUAUUUUUGGGAUCAUGUUAACUGGUAUCCCAAAGACACGAGUUAAGAAAUCCAAAAAAUAAAGUUGAAUUAAAAAUGAUACUUUUUUGACUUUUAAAGAAUUGAUUACACAAAUUUCAAUGCAAAAAUUAUUAUAUUUGCUUUCUUAACCUAUGCCCCCGAAGCACGGGUUAACAUUUCCCUUAUUUUUAAUUAUCAACGGUGGGCAUUGGUUAACAUUUCCGUUAUUUUUAUUAACAGAAUCACAUCAUUAUGCUUAUAUUUAUUUACUUAGUACUUACACAAUAUGGUGAUGAUUCCAAAGAAUGGAGUAAGUGUGGAAAUCAGCAGAAGGAUCAAACCAAAGAUUAACUCUUUGUUCUCUAUCACCCUUUCCAUGAGCAUAAAUGUUUGUUUGAACUGUGUAAGGUUGUCCAGUACGGUUUCCCAAGAACUCAAAAUCCAACUCAUCACGUACACUGUCAGUGUCAGAGUUCAUCUACCACAAAAAAUAUAUUCAAUGAUUUCAGUUUUUGACUCGCUUAAUUAUAUUUUUAACAAAGAGUAGGGAAAUUAAUAUGAACUUACAUAAAAUGCAGUAACAGUACCAGCAGAAUCUCCAGGGACAAGUUUGAUCUUCAUGCUUACACGACCAAACAAAUACUUCACCUUUGAUGCAAACCCGCAACCUGUGCAAAAAUUAAAUUAAGUAUUUUUGAUAGAUAAAUAGGUAACAUGACUUAUCCAAAUUAUAUUAGUAUAGUAUUUGUUAUUUAUAGUAUAUAAUAACAUAAGUUACUUACCAGAGCCUUGGUCUAGGGUAAGUUGGAUAGUUCUGCCUUGAUCAAUUUGCUUGAUAUGGGGUUCUGACCACGUGACAUGAAAAUCUUGAUUAAAAGUUGCUGGUCUUCCCCAAACAGAUGAUACGACAAUCCACAAUAACAACAUAAAAAAGACACCAUUGUUUUUAAAGGGGUAAAAUAUGGCCAUGGAUGUGUAUUACGUAAUGUAAUAUAUAGGAAGAAAAUAUUUGAUUGUGCAAUGUAAACGAGAGUAGUGUCCAAUAUUUAUACAUGAGAAUUUGGAAAGGAAAAAGAAAAGAAUAAUCAAUCAGUUCAUUGUCUCAUUGAAAUGGAAGAUGUUAAAACAUAUAACAUUGCUUUCUAUACAGCUAAGGGCUUGAAGUCAUUAGGACCUACCUAAGCAGUUUGUCCUCUGCUUGGCCCCUUUAAUCCUUUGUUUGCCCAAUCAUUUUCUUGGCGUGUGCUUCAUAUGUAUUUAUAAAUAAAAAAUAAUAAUUUGAGCAAAAAUGAACAACAUUUAAUGUGUUGAUGGGAUAAGUAUUUUUUAGAUGAACUAUCAAUGAUUAAUUUGUUAGCGUUUAACCUUUAAUUUCAAGAAACAAAGUUAAAAUUCUUUUAGAAACAAUUAUAAAAUAGUCAGUAAUGUCAUUUUAAUUUAAUUAAAUAAUUUCAUCAUUCUCAAUUUCUUUUGACCAAGUAGUUUAGUGACCAUAAUUUUAUGGUUUGAAGAAUUUCGAGUUCGAAUUUCAACCCCUACAUAUUAUAACGUCGCUAUCAAUCGAGAACUAUUCAUAAUUUAAUAAAACAAAAGUUGAUUAAUAUGGUAAGGGAAGAGUUUGUUAGCAUUAAAUAUCUUGAAUCUCUCGCGAAAACACAUUUUAAUUGGUAGUUGAAAGGAUUGAUAUGGAGAGACCGAAAUUUGAACUUCAGAUUAGUGUGAGUCUAGUCAUUAAACUACUUGACUAAAAAAAAAUCUUAAACCUCAUAUAGACAUAAUAUUGUUUCAGCGUCCCAACUUUUAUCUUUGGAUUAAUUAUUUUUUAAAUAGGUCAGAUUAACUUGUAUCUUAAAGACACAUGUUAAGUAUCCCAAAAAGAGCUACUUUGUAUUGGAAAACAUAAUAUUUUAAUUUUUAAGAAAUUGACUACACGACUUUUGAUACGUAUAUUAUUAUAAUGAAUUUCUUAACAUGUACUCAAGUUAGCAUUUGCCUUCUUAAAUUAGUUCAUCUCAGUUUUCUUUUCAUUUUUGCUUUGACAUUUUGAAACUUUCACAGCCAAACUUCAAAUUUUGAAUGAUAUGUGGAAAUUGAAAUUAUACACAAUGUACUACUAUUAGUAGAAAAAUUGGUUUGAGAUGAACUUAUUCAUACGUACAUUUCAGCUGAGAGGCCUAACAAUGUUGCUAAUUAUGAGCUUUGCUGUUAUCUUUAAUUUUCCUUUAUCUAAUUUGAGGUCCACGUAGCUUAAGCCUUUAAGGUGAGGCCAUUAAUCCAUAAUUAUUUGAUGAGCCAUGUACUGUGGACAGCUGAGGGAGGUUGAUUGAUCACGAACGGGUUGAAUCAGCAACUACAUCCAACGUGGAACCUACUCAUUGGUCCAAGCCAGAAUCAAAAACUGCUGCUAUUGAUUAUUGAAUAAGAAUCUUUACCCAAACAGUUUUGAUCAUUCCCAAAGUAAAUCACCAAAAAAUUGCUGCGUAAGUUAACUCACGCAGCGUGACUUAAGUCACGCUAAAAAACAAACAAAAUCUCACAGUCACGUUGAAACAAAAGCAGCACAAGAGUUUUGAGGAAAACCUAAUCCAUAUGCAAUAAGCAACAAAAGUCAUGGUGAUCUCGUCAAGGAAUUAUGUAUCAAUCGUGAAACCUCCAUAGUUAUUUAUUCUGAAUCAAUGACUUUGCUAUAAAGCCACUUUCUUUUGGGAAAAAAAUCGUGAUGUUCUUAAAUUGAAGGAAGGGAAAAACGUGGAUUGAAGUCCAAUUCAAGUCCACCAGGAACCGAAAAAGUCAUUCUUUAAAAAAAAAAAAAAAAGGUGAAGAAGACAACGGCAAAGAUGAAGAAGAGAUGAAUGACUUUUUGUUCUAGCGUGACUUAACUUAGGUACAAAAUAUACUAGCGCAUGUUAAGUCACGUAGCGUGACCUAACAUAAGUACAUACUAUUACACUAGCGCAUGUUAACAUACGUAAGAGUAUUUUAGACUUUUACUUUGGAAAUGAGCGAAAUCAUUUGGGUAAUGAGCAGAAAUCAUUGAAUAAUUUGGUUUGACCCCAAUAAUGCUAAUUAAGUUUCCAACUGUGAUUUUCGUGUAUUUCAGUGGGAGAGAAAAUCAUUCGAAUCAACCUUACCGUUUGGAUUAAAAAGGUUCUUGGAAUCAUUAUUCAACUUUUUAUUUUCACUUCUCGUUUUCUCCCUUCAUUUUUUUACUUCUAUCUUCCGUUUUUUUUUGUUUACUCGUUUUUUAUUUUCCAAUUUUUUUUCAUUAUAAGUUACCUAAACUAAGGCAAGGAGAAAAUAGAGAUGGUGACCAUAGUUUCGUCUACGUUUAUUAAAUGCAUGCUUAUUUAUAUGGCUGAUUGGGAAAUAUGGAACUAAUAGGAAUUUGCUGGACUUCACUUGUGCCGACAAGAACUUUGGUUUCUCUUAAUUAAGUACAUACAUCCUCUCUCGGUUUUAUGAUUGCAUAUUUUGUUGAGAAAAUUUAUUUUUGUUUAUUUAUCCUUUUCAAUAUGUUAGUUUGUAUUAGCUAUAUUUUUUAUAUUAUAAUCUAAAAGACAUUCUAAAAGUAACUAAUUGUAAUAAUAUUUGGGUCAAAUAUCAUCUAUGGUUCUUUAAGUUCGAUGUUUAUAACAAUGUAGUCAUUUAAAUUUUUUUGUUACAAAUUGAUCGUUUAAGUUAGAAAAUAUAAGGACAAUGAUUUUUUUUUAUUGUAUCAUAAAGUUUUGGACAUUAGGACAUGUAUAUAUGUUGCUUACAAGAGCCUUGGUCUAGGGUAAGUUGGAUAGUUCUGCCUUGAUCAAUUUGCUUGAUAUGGGGUUCUGACCACGUGACAUGAAAGUCUUGAUUAAAAGUUGCUGGUCUUCCCCAAACAGAUGAUACGACAAUCCACAAUAACAACAUAAAAAAGAUACCAUUGUUUUUAAAAGGGUAAAAUAUGGUCAUGGUUGUGUAUUACGUAAUGUAAUAUAUAGGAAGAAAAUAUUUGAUUGUGCAAUGUAAAUGAGCAUAGUGUCCUAUAUUUAUACAUGAGAAUUUGGAAAGGAAAACGAAGAGAAUAAUCAAUCAGUUCAUUGUCUCAUUGAAAUGGAAGAUGUUAAAACAUAUAACAUAUAUUGCUUUCUAUACAGCUAAGUGCUUGCCGACCUUAGGACCUACCUAAAUACCAUGACCAACGAAAAUUUGAGUGGAAUCAAAUUCGUUUAGAGAUGUUCAAAACCAAAUCAGUCCAAUAAAAAUCAUAAACCGAACCAACUAAAAUCGAUAACCACAAAAAACCCGUGUUUGGUUUGGUUGUGUUCGGGGCACUUUUCACUCAACUCCUCAUUAAGCUCAACAAACCUUCUUCUUUUUCCAAUUAACAUUAUAUAUACAAGGGUUAAUAUGUCUUUACCUCCUGUAAUUUGGGCGAGUUCCGGUUUUCCCCCCUGUAAAAAAAAAAGUUUAGAUUCCAACCCUGUAAAAUAAGAUUCUUUGAUUUUAGCCCCUGACCCAUGUGACUGUGCAUAAUUGCUGACGUGGCGGGCUGAGUGGCAUGCUGACGUGCUGACUGUAUAAUUUUUUUUUUUUUAUUUAAAAAAAUAUAUAAAAAUUAAAAAAAAAUCAGGAUUUUCUUUAUUACGAAAAAUAUUUUCUGAAAUAUUUAUUUUUCGAAAAUUCCAAAAUUUAUAAUUUACAAAAAAAAUAUAUUUCAAAAUUUUUUAAAAUUAUUUUUGAAAAUGUUGAAAUAUAUAUUUCAAAAAAAAAAUUCAAAAUUAUUUUCGAAAAUUUGGAAUAUAUAUUUUUUGAAGUUUAAAACAGAUUUUUUUUCGAAAAAUAAGUUUUUAAAAUUUUCUCAACAAAAAAAAAAAUCUGGAUACAAAUUUAUUUAAAAAUUUAGGAAAAUUUAGAUUUUUAUUACGAUGUGUUACAGAUUUGAGAAUAUUUUUUAAUAUUUAAAAAUUGAGGAUAAAAAAAUCUGGAAAUUUUUUUAAUAUUUAAAUUUAUUCUUAUCUAUUUGUUAUAUGUGUUAUUUGUAUUGAAAAUUGUGGGCAUUUUUGAAAAGAAACAGCCAACCCAAAAGCUGAAAGGGGUUGUUUUCUUUAUAUAUAUUUCCAAAAAUAUUAUAUAUAAAAAAUUCAUACACUUACUAUAUUUUGAAACUUUCAAAAAUUAAAAAAAAAUCCAAAUUAAUUAAAUUUUAAAAAUAUUCGAAAAAAUAAUAUAAGCUAAUUUUUUGAAUGUUUUGGUAAAAAAAUUAAUAUUUUUUUUUUGAAAAAAAAUCCAAUCUUUUUUUCGUUUUUUAAAAAAAUUGUUUUUUUUCUUGAUUUUAAAUUUUUGAAAAUUAAUUUUCAGUUUUUUUUUUUAUCUUUUUAAAAAUAAUUUAUUAAACCAUUACACACAUGUCAAAUUUAAAAAAAUAAAAAUAAAAAUAAUUACACAGUGGCGUGCCACAUCAGCGUCUAAAUGAGGUCAAGGGUGUUUUGUGGAGAAUCUUCAUAUUACAGGGGUGUUUUGUGGAGAAUAUUUAUAUUAUAAGGUUGGAAUCUAAAUUUUUUUUUUACAGGGGGGAAAACCGGAACUCGCCCAAAUUACAGGGGGGUAAAGACAUAUUAUCCCUAUAUACAAAUAUGUAAUCUUUUUCGAUUCAUUUAAAAAAAAAAAAAAAACCUAUUUGUAACAUGAAGACCAUCUCUCCUCCAACUCGGUUGUCUCUCCUCCAUGGUCUCUCUCCCUCUAUUUGCUUUGGAGUUCAAUUUUGAUGCAUUUUUUUUUUUUUUGGAGUUAGGCUAUACUUGGAUAACCUUUUGUUUAUGUUUAAUUGUUGCAAAUUUUGUAAUGGGAGUUAGUUGUUGCUAAAAAGUUGAAUUUUGUAACUUGUGAAGCUACCAAGUCAGGGAUAGAAGGAUGAAAGUUGAUCUUCAAUAGGGUUGAAAGGUUCAUUUUGGGGGUUGAAAACGUAAUGGCACAACUUGUGGAGCUACCUAAAAUUUUUAGUCUAAUUGGUUGCAAGUGAAAUUUUAAGGAGUCAAAUGACAUUCAAAGGGUUGAAGAAUUAAAGGAAAAUCUUAUGGGGUUACAAAGUGUAGUGGGAUGCAAGUAUAGUCAUAGAUGACUAGAGAAGAAUAAUCAGACCUAAAAACUUGCGGGAGUUAUCAAUGAUAGUUGGAUGCAAAUGGAGAUUAGUACCUAGAUCAAGGUUCAAGUGGGGCUUGGACUUGACCUGUUUCCUGAAGAGAAGUUCCAAGAUGGAGAGAGCAGCAUAGUGGUUGAUGAGUAAAUUGUAAUCACCACUUAUUUGAAGGCAGGAUAGAUAAUUUUGAAUUGUGUCAUAUAAAUAAGGCAGGAUGUGCUGUCAUAGAGCAACUCGCCCCGACGAGUAACUCCAUCAUUGCAGAGUGAUUUUCCAUGCUCAGUUUCGACGUAUGACGCUCACCGGAAGUCUGAUGCUCAUCGGAAGGAGACUUUGUUUCAAACAUAAGAUAAUGAUAUUCUGGAUUUUAGAAAAUUUGUUCAGAACGAUAAAUAAUUCAUAUCGAGAAUCAUGUGAGCUUUCAUCAUCGGUGUCGGCAUCUACUCCGUCAGCGACGACGGUUCCCACUCGUCGGAAAAACAACAACAGCGUUAGUGAUCAACAGAGAUGCUGUCAAUUAGAUCGAGGAGCAUCACCAAUGGAUAAUUUCGAAACAAUAGAUUGAUCAGAAUUUGUAACCUCGUCGGAAUCUUUACCUCGGAGUCGGAACAAGACGACGGGGCGAUGACGACGAUGCGGCGGUCGAGGCUAGGUUACCAUGCUGUUGAUGGGCUUGGGAGGGUGGAUUAUGCUAUUGAAAACGGUGGAGCUUUUGUUGUGAGACAUUCGGAGGCUUAUGAUGUGUGGUUGGGGAAUUGGUUCUUGUUGAAUAGUGAAUUAGAAGGGGUUUUGGGGAAAUGAAUGGGGAAGGAAGCAACUACGGUUGUAGAGGCUACAAACACUUUUUUUUUUAAUCUGGAUUGGAAGAGGAAGUAGGUUAAAAGGAGGUUGGUGGUGGUGGUGGAGAGAACUGGUUUUGUGUUUUUGUGAGAAAAGAAGAAGACAAGGGAUGAUGAGGGUAUUUUUGUCCAUUCCCAUGUCAUUUUGCUAAUUUGAUGAUGUGGUAGUAAUUAAGUAGGUGUAGGGACGGAAUUUUAAAGGAUUAAACUUUGAAAGGGUAAUUUUCCAGGAUUAACGAUUACAGAGGCCAAUUUUUAAAUAAGCCCUAACUGCAGGGACGAAACACAUAUUAAAGCCUUGAUUAUAUACAUGACAUAUGUAAGCUAAUAUAAUAUUGCAAAUAGGUCAAUAGUGCAAAAUAUAACUUAAUUAUAAAACAAAGCAUACAUAACCACUAUAAUAAAUAGUUAUGUUCAACUUAGAAUCAAAAUACAAAAUUAACUUGCAAAAUCAUAAGUUUCAUUAGACUUUAAACCAUCCAAAGAACCAUCCGAAAAACCAAGUUUCAGAAGUUUCUAAAGUUAUUAAUAAAUCUAUUCAAAAAAUGAACUAGUUAAUUUCUUCAAAAGAUCAAUCCUUCUAAAGUUCCACAACAUCAUUAUCAUCGGUGUUUUCUUCUCCAGAUAAUAAAGAGUUUUCAAUAUUAGAACCAAAUACAUGACUUGAACUCAAUUCAACAUUAAUUUCAGUACCUUGAGCUUGAAAAAAAAUGGAUUUUGGAAGAAAAUGGACUCCAAAAAAUGGCCCAAAAUAACAAAAAAAAAAAAAAAAGUGCUUUUUUAAACGUAAACUCGGUCAAGUUUAACAUGUGUUAACUAGAUCAAACUAGUCAAACGUUCUGAUUUCAUCAAAAACCGAGUUUAAAAAUGUAAUCACAUGUGAGUUUACGAGUUAACAUUCGAUCUGUGGAACACUGUCUAUAUGAAAAAAGUUAUUGUGAGUAUUGAGAGAUUAUUUUAACGUCAGAGACUAUUUUGAUUAACAAAGUGUACAAUCAAGGACUAUUUUAAAAAUUUUAUACAUUGAUGAACUAUUGUGACAAUUCAUUACACAUUCAUGGAUCAAAAUGACUAUUAGUUGGGUGAAAAACAUAGGAAAACUUUAUUCCAUAUAUAUUGAUACUUGCUAUAUUACAGUAAAUUAUUUAUUUACCUAAAAACACAAAUAAAUUGUUUAUUAUUCAUCAAUUGAUCACAAUAAUGGCUUUCGUAAAAUCACAUACAAUGCCAACAGAGCUAGAAGAGGCUUUGACUUAUACAACUUACCUAUACCCCUUCUAAUUUUUGGCUUAAUAAUUGGGACAUAUAGUACUAUAUACACACAUUAUAAAUGAAUAUCAUAUGCACAUAAAAGUAUGUGGCACAAACGUUAUGAACCACUAAUUUUGCCGACGAAUUGAAUUAAUGUUUAUAAAUAUAUGUAUAGUUUGGUUUUGGACAUUUAAAUGCCUGAAAGACACUCAUGUGGGGUCAUUGGGUACCUUGAUUUAUCUUGACAAUAAUCAUAGAUCACAUGGUUCAUACGAACCCACCUAUACCUUCUAGCUUCAAUGGCACUAAGAGCUUGAUAUUCAACCCCUUCCCACCAAUUUUUUGGGUUAGUGGAACAUGUAGUUGGUCCUGGAAUUGCACAUCCUUCAAUAUCAAAAUCCUUGUAAUAAGCAUAGAAAGGUGCUUUACUCCAAUUAAUUUUCUCUAAUCCACCUCUUGUUGCCCAAUUAUCAGCUUCCCAUAAUGUUGAAAAUACUCCCAUGGCUUGCAUUUUUGGGUAUGGUAUCCCUUUUGCUUCAUUGUUCUUGUAUACUCUAAUAGGAACUUC